GCCCUCAUCAUCUAGUGGUUAGGAUACCAGUUUGUGGUUCACCGCAUUCAUAAAGCACUGGAAACGGCAGUUCGAUUCCGCCUGAAGGCA
rnacentral:tRNA from 1 species